AUUGAACGCUGGCGGCAGGCCUAACACAUGCAAGUCGAGCGGAUGAAGGGAGCUUGCUCCUGGAUUCAGCGGCGGACGGGUGAGUAAUGCCUAGGAAUCUGCCUGGUAGUGGGGGAUAACGUCCGGAAACGGGCGCUAAUACCGCAUACGUCCUGAGGGAGAAAGUGGGGGAUCUUCGGACCUCACGCUAUCAGAUGAGCCUAGGUCGGAUUAGCUAGUUGGUGGGGUAAAGGCCUACCAAGGCGACGAUCCGUAACUGGUCUGAGAGGAUGAUCAGUCACACCGGAACAGAGACAGGGUCCCGACUCCUACGGGGGGCAGCGGUCGGGAAUAUUUGACGAUGGGGGAAAGGCUUGUCCAGCCAUGCCGCGUGUGUGAAGAAGGUCUUCGGAUUGUAAAGCACUUUAAGUUGGGAGGAAGGGCAGUAAGUUAAUACCUUGCUGUUUUGACGUUACCAACAGAAUAAGCACCGGCUAACUUCGUG
rnacentral:rRNA from 1 species